GAGCACAAGCCCAGCAUCAUUCAUCCGACGCCGCUUCACUACUCCGCUCCGAUAUAGGGGAAAGCAUGGUUGAAAGGCCCUACUCCUCUAUUUUGAAUACACGGCUAGGGUAUAGUACCUACAUUUUUUGCUCGAUCAUGCACCUGUUGCAAUCGGCAUAGUCGAGCAGCAUCAAGGGAUUGGUGAAUGAGUGGAAGAAGACAAUAGAUAAUGAAUUUUAGUGAUUGUUUGCACUUGCAUUGUGAAUAUAUGUGGAUGAUGUGGAGCUAUUUUUUUCCAUCGGCGGGCCUUAGCCUAGGAGGCUGCUUCGAAUGUUGUUUUUCUCUUUAAUAAGAUGAUGAUGAGAGAAGUUUACUUCUUCUUUGAUUAAUAAGAGACUUGGACCUUUGAUGAACAUGAACUAAUACUGGUUUGUCAAGAACACUCUGCUCAUAUACCUUGGUGUGCAAAUAAGAAAACACUUAAUGUCUCAAACUUUAUUUAAC